UACGAAGGGGGCUAGCGUUGUUCGGAAUCACUGGGCGUAAAGCGCACGUAGGCGGAUUGCUAAGUCAGGGGUGAAAUCCUGGAGCUCAACUCCAGAACUGCCUUUGAUACUGGCGAUCUCGAGUCCGGGAGAGGUGAGUGGAACUGCGAAGUGUAGAGGUGAAAUUCGUAGAUAUUCGCAAGAACACCAGUGGCGAAGGCGGCUCACUGGCCCGGUACUGACGCUGAGGUGCGAAAGCGUGGGGAGCAAACAGG
rnacentral:rRNA from 1 species